GGGAGCGUGGCGGAAUGGUAGACGCAACGGACUUAGAAUCCGUUGAUAUUUUUAAUCGUGAGGGUUCAAGUCCCUCCGCUCCCA
rnacentral:tRNA from 1 species